rnacentral:rRNA from 1 species
GACGAACGCUGGCGGCGUGCUUAACACGUGCAAGUCGAACGGAAAGGCCCUGCUUUUGUGGGGUGCUCGAGUGGCGAACGGGUGAGUAACACGUGAGUAACCUGCCCUUGACUUUGGGAUAACUUCAGGAAACUGGGGCUAAUACCGGAUAGGAGCUCCUGCUGCAUGGUGGGGGUUGGAAAGUUUCGGCGGUUGGGGAUGGACUCGCGGCUUAUCAGCUUGUUGGUGGGGUAGUGGCUUACCAAGGCUUUGACGGGUAGCCGGCCUGAGAGGGUGACCGGCCACAUUGAGACUGAGAUACGGCCCAGACUCCUACGGGAGGCAGCAGUGGGGAAUAUUGCACAAUGGGCGGAAGCCUGAUGCAGCAACGCCGCGUGCGGGAUGACGGCCUUCGGGUUGUAAACCGCUUUCGCCUGUGACGAAGCGUGAGUGACGGUAAUGGGUAAAGAAGCACCGGCUAACUACGUG